GACGUAGGGCGCGAGCGUUGUCCGGAUUUAUUGGGCGUAAAGAGCGUGUAGGCGGCCCGGUAAGUCCGCUGUGAAAGUCCAGGGCUCAACCCUGGAAUGCCGGUGGAAACUGUCGGGCUAGAGUCCGGAAGAGGCGAGUGGAAUUCCUGGUGUAGCGGUGAAAUGCGCAGAUAUCAGGAGGAACACCAAUGGCGAAGGCAGCUCGCUGGGACGGUACUGACGCUGAGACGCGAAAGCGUGGGGAGCAAACAGG
rnacentral:rRNA from 1 species